rnacentral:rRNA from 1 species
AAUAGAUACCCAGGUAGUCCACGCCGUAAACGAUGAGUGCUAAGUGUUAGGGGGUUUCCGCCCCUUAGUGCUGCAGCUAACGCAUUAAGCACUCCGCCUGGGGAGUACGGCCGCAAGGCUGAAACUCAAAGGAAUUGACGGGGGCCCGCACAAGCGGUGGAGCAUGUGGUUUAAUUCGAAGCAACGCGAAGAACCUUACCAGGUCUUGACAUCUCCUGACCCCCCUGGAGACAGGGUCUUCCCUUCGGGGACAGGAUGACAGGUGGUGCAUGGUUGUCGUCAGCUCGUGUCGUGAGAUGUUGGGUUAAGUCCCGCAACGAGCGCAACCCUUGUCCUUAGUUGCCAGCAUUCAGUUGGGCACUCUAAGGAGACUGCCGGCUAAAAGUCGGAGGAAGGUGGGGAUGACGUCAAAUCAUCAUGCCCCUUAUGACCUGGGCUACACACGUGCUACAAUGGGCGGUACAGAGGGUCGCGAACCCGCGAGGGGGAGCCAAAUCCCAAAAAAACCGCUCUCAGUUCGGAUUGCAGGCUGCAACUCG